UGCCUACGGGAGGCAGCAGUGGGGAAUAUUGCACAAUGGGGGAAACCCUGAUGCAGCAACGCCGCGUGAGUGAAGAAGUAUUUCGGUAUGUAAAGCUCUAUCAGCAGGGAAGAAGAUGACGGUACCUGAUUAAGAAGCCCCGGCUAACUACGUGCCAGCAGCCGCGGUAAUACGUAGGGGGCAAGCGUUAUCCGGAUUUACUGGGUUUAAAGGGAGCGCAGACGGCAGUGCAAGUCUGGAGUGAAAGCCC
rnacentral:rRNA from 1 species